GAUGAACGCUGGCGGCGUGCUUAACACAUGCAAGUCGAACGGAAAGGCCCCUGCUUGCCGGGGUACUCGAGUGGCGAACGGGUGAGUAACACGUGGGUGAUCUGCCCUGCACUUCGGGAUAAGCAUGGGAAACUGGGUCUAAUACCGGAUAGGACGAUGGUUUGGAUGCCAUUGUGGAAAGUUUUUCGGUGUGGGAUGAGCUCGCGGCCUAUCAGCUUGUUGGUGGGGUAAUGGCCUACCAAGGCGUCGACGGGUAGCCGGCCUGAGAGGGUGUACGGCCACAUUGGGACUGAGAUACGGCCCAGACUCCUACGGGAGGCAGCAGUGGGGAAUAUUGCACAAUGGGCGCAAGCCUGAUGCAGCGACGCCGCGUGGGGGAUGACGGCCUUCGGGUUGUAAACUCCUUUCGCUAGGGACGAAGCGCAAGUGACGGUACCUGGAGAAGAAGCACCGGCUAACUACGUG
rnacentral:rRNA from 1 species